CCCUUAGAUGUUCUGGGCGGCCCGCGCACUACAUUGGCACUGUCAGCAAGGGUCUGAAACUAAAACUUUUGGGUAUUCUGAGAACCGGUGUCGUGACUGGGAUUGAUCCUUGCAAUUAUUGGUUAUGAACGAGGAAUUCCUUGUAAUCGCGGUUUAUCAGCCCGCGUUGAAUGCGUCCCUGCCCUUUGUACACACCGCCCGUCGCUCCUACCGAUGAAUCGUCCGGUGAAGUUCAUGGAGUAGUGGUUGUUCCAUCCGCUGUCGAAGUGAAAUAAACCUCAUGAUUUAGAGGAAGGAGAAGUCGUAACA
rnacentral:rRNA from 1 species